GACGAACGCGGGCGGCGUGCCUAAUACAUGCAAGUCGAACGAGAGCGACCGGUGCUUGCACUGGUCAAUCUAGUGGCGAACGGGUGAGUAACACGUGGGUAACCUGCCCAUCAGAGGGGGAUAACAUCCGGAAACGGAUGCUAAAACCGCAUAGGUCUUCGAGCCGCAUGGCUUGAAGAGGAAAAGAGGCGCAAGCUUCUGCUGAUGGAUGGACCCGCGGCGUAUUAGCUAGUUGGUGAGGUAAUGGCUCACCAAGGCAAUGAUACGUAGCCGACCUGAGAGGGUGAUCGGCCACACUGGGACUGAGACACGGCCCAGACUCCUACGGGAGGCAGCAGUAGGGAAUCUUCCGCAAUGGACGAAAGUCUGACGGAGCAACGCCGCGUGAGUGAAGAAGGUUUUCGGAUCGUAAAACUCUGUUGUUAAAGAAGAACAAGGAUGAGAGUAACUGCUCAUCCCCUGACGGUAUUUAACCAGAAAGCCACGGCUAACUACGUGCCAGCAGCCGCGGUAAUACGUAGGUGGCAAGCGUUGUCCGGAUUUAUUGGGCGUAAAGCGAGCGCAGGCGGUUCCUUAAGUCUGAUGUGAAAGCCCCCGGCUCAACCGGGGAGGGUCAUUGGAAACUGGGGAACUUGAGUGCAGAAGAGGAGAGUGGAAUUCCAUGUGUAGCGGUGAAAUGCGUAGAUAUAUGGAGGAACACCAGUGGCGAAGGCGACUCUCUGGUCUGUAACUGACGCUGAGGCUCGAAAGCGUGGGUAGCAAACAGG
rnacentral:rRNA from 1 species